rnacentral:rRNA from 1 species
GCUGAGCGGUAGAGAUCUUUCGGGAUCUUGAGAGCGGCGUACGGGUGCGGAACACGUGUGCAACCUGCCUUUAUCAGGGGGAUAGCCUUUCGAAAGGAAGAUUAAUACUCCAUAAUAUAAUUUACGGCAUCGUAGAUUAUUGAAAACUCCGGUGGAUAGAGAUGGGCACGCGCAAGAUUAGAUAGUUGGUGAGGUAACGGCUCACCAAGUCGAUGAUCUUUAGGGGGCCUGAGAGGGUGAUCCCCCACACUGGUACUGAGACACGGACCAGACUCCUACGGGAGGCAGCAGUGAGGAAUAUUGGACAAUGGGUUAGCGCCUGAUCCAGCCAUCCCGCGUGAAGGACGACGGCCCUAUGGGUUGUAAACUUCUUUUGUACAGGGAUAAACCUAUCUACGUGUAGAUAGCUGAAGGUACUGUACGAAUAAGCACCGGCUAACUCCGUGCCAGCAGCCGCGGUAAUACGGAGGGUGCAAGCGUUAUCCGGAUUUAUUGGGUUUAAAGGGUCCGUAGGCGGAUGCGUAAGUCAGUGGUGAAAUCUCACAGCUCAACUGUGAAACUGCCAUUGAUACUGCGUGUCUUGAGUAAGGUAGAAGUAGC